AACGCACGAGACCUGCGGACCUGCGGAGGGAUCAUUACCGAGUGUUACAGCUCCCAAACCCACUGUGAACGUACCCAUCGUUGCUUCGGCGGGACCGCCCCGGCGCCUCCGCGCGCCGGGCACGGGCGCCCGCCGGGGGCCCGAAACUCUUGCCUCCUCGCGUGGAUUCUCUGAGUGGCACGAAAAGGGAAAAUGAAUCAAAACUUUUAACAAUGGAUCUCUAGAUCGGAAGAGCACACG
rnacentral:misc_RNA from 1 species